CUAGGACUUCCGGUACUACGUUGAAGAGGGGUGGUGAGAGUGACAGACCAAUAACAAGCAGCAAGGUUGAAAUGGUAAUUUAAAAAUUACCAACAAGAAAAAGUCCAGGACCAGAUGGAUUCACAGCAGAAUUCUACUAGACAUUCAAAGAAGAAUUAGUACCCAUCCUUUUGACACUAUUCCACAAGGAAUCCACCAGGAAAACAAAGCACUCUGGUACUUCAACGGAGAAUUUAGAUAAAUACGUGGUUAAAUGAACAUUGAAGAAGGAAAGCAGCAACAAAGAAGCUCUCAGACGAACAGACAGGACAGAGUCAGGAAAGAACAGAGUGCUCCUAUAAUGGUACUCUAAAGCUGCUUUGAAUUUUCAAACCACUUUAAUUGCACUUUGAGUAUCUAAGCAAACCUGAUCUCCAGAUACAGACAGAGCUUUCCAGGGACAACUAUGUCAUUAAAAAAUUCUGAGCCCUCAGUGAUGGAGUAGGAGUGGAGCAUUCUGAGCCUGUGAGCAAACUGUGUGAAUUCAAGUUCUUCUGGCCACCGUGUGAAGAAGGAUGUGUUUGCUUCCACUUCCGCCAUGAUUGUAAGUUUCCUGAGGCCUCCUCAGCCAUGCUGAACUGUGAGUCAACUAAACCCUGUUUUAAAAAUAAAUUGCCCAGUCUCAGGUAUGUCUUUAUUAGCAGCAUGAGAACAGACUAAUACAACAUGUGUCCAUCAAUAAAUGAAAGUAUAAAAAAAAGUAUUAUACAUAUGUAAUGGAAUACUAUUCAGCCAUUAAAAAACUAUGAAAUUAUGUAUUUUACAACAAGAUGGAUGAAACUAGAGAUCAUUAUCUUAAGUGAAACAAGCCAGGCACAGAAAGACAAAUAUUGCAUGUUCUCACUCAUAAAUGGGUGAAGAUUAUGGGAGUCAGGCAGCAGGUCGGGAUAGCCGCUGAGCUGACCAGUGACUCAUGUGGCUGUAAUCACUAGGACAACAGCCUUGUAUCUGGCUGAAAGGCUGGUGAAGCCACUGAGGAGUGGAUGACAGACGUAUUGCCUGCUACAACUGCAGCAGAGGUGGGGGGC
rnacentral:lncRNA from 1 species